UACGGGGGGAGCAAGCGUUGUUCGGAUUUACUGGGCGUAAAGGGCGCGUAGGCGGCCACCGCAAGUCAAUUGUGAAAUCUCCGGGCUUAACUCGGAAAGGUCAACUGAUACUGCGGGGCUAGAGUGCGGAAGGGGCAACUGGAAUUCUCGGUGUAGCGGUGAAAUGCGUAGAUAUCGAGAGGAACACCUGCGGCGAAGGCGGGUUGCUGGGCCGACACUGACGCUGAUGCGCGAAAGCUAGGGGAGCAAACGGG
rnacentral:rRNA from 1 species